rnacentral:rRNA from 1 species
GACGAACGCUGGCGGCGUGCUUAACACAUGCAAGUCGAGCGGUAAGGCCCUUUCGGGGGGUACACGAGCGGCGAACGGGUGAGUAACACGUGGGUGACCUGCCCUUAGCUCUGGGAUAAGCCUGGGAAACUGGGUCUAAUACCGGAUAUGACUCCAUGACGCAUGUUGUGGGGUGGAAAGCCUUGUGCGGCUAGGGAUGGGCCCGCGGCCUAUCAGCUUGUUGGUGGGGUGAUGGCCACCAAGGCGACGACGGGUAGCCGGCCUGAGAGGGCGACCGGCCACACUGGGACUGAGACACGGCCCAGACUCCUACGGGAGGCAGCAGUGGGGAAUCUUGCGCAAUGGGCGAAAGCCUGACGCA